UCUAUGUGCUUUCCAGAUGCAUAGAUGUUUGUGUGCUUGUCCUUACUGACUCUAGAGAUACAGAGUAGUUAAGGCUAUUGAAACGCUGAGGAAACGGGACCACGCAUAGCAGUACAACUCUUGCAUAAUAAGCCAUGACUUUCAUAAGCCAUGACUUUCAUCACCCCUAGCAUGCCCUCAUAAGGAAGCACUAACAUACCAGCAACAAGUUAUUUAUAUUGUCUACUGUCCAUCUACAUCACUAACCCUGGUCUCAGUCACUGUUUUUGGAUAAUUUCUGCACAUAACAACGUCAUCUGCAAGAAUCAGAUGGAAAGUGUGAGUGUCCAGGAGGCCAAGAACCAGAAGAGCAGGAUGAAGACCAGCAGGGUGCGUGCCGGGUACUUGUUCAUGAG